UGAAAGCUUGCUUUUGAUGACGAGUGGCGCACGGGUGCGUAACGCGUAUGCAAUCUACCCUUUACUGGAGAAUAGCCCUUGGAAACGAGGAAUAAUACUCCAUAGUAUAACAAUUUCGCAUGUUAUUGUUAUUAAAGCUUCAGCGGUAAAGGAUGAGCAUGCGUCCCAUUAGUUAGUUGGUGAGGUAAUGGCUCACCAAGACUUCGAUGGGCAGGGGCCUGAGAGGGUUAUCCCCCACACUGGUACUGAGACACGGACCAGACUCC
rnacentral:rRNA from 1 species